GGUCAUUCAGUUGUCAGGUGUGUCUGAUUUCAUUAUCACAUGUACAACUGUAACAUAAAAAUGUGUAACAAAGCCAAAAUUAUACAUAUAGAUCAAAUUACUAUUCUUCUUAAUCUCUAACAUGUAAUUUAAGAGAAUCUGUCUGUUUUAAAGGUUGGCACAGAAAAGGAAAUAUGAAGAUCAAAUCGUAAGAAUCACAUUUUGAUAGUUGUUGACAAUGUUGUGACCUGCAUGCUAAGGAUUAUUUAUUAUAGAAUUUGAUUAAUUUUGGAUCCAAACCUCCCACUUCAUAUGCAUACUUUUUACUGACUUUUAAAUAUUUAAAUAUUUAUUUGCACCCUGUGAUGAUUAAAUAAUUGUUGUCUGUGUACAGAUAAUAGCAGAUAAGGAUAAGGAGGAGGCAAAGAGGCCCAGGACAAUCCCUCCUCAACAGUCGUUUAGUGUGAAUGAAGAACCUGUUGACCUGACCAAGGAGGGGAUUCUGGAGAUUCCAAGAUGUUGUCUGGAAGACAUAUUGCUUGAGAUGGUCCUCCAGGAUGGUGAUAAGACACUGAUGACCUUGGUCCUAGUCUGUUCCUCGUUCAGAGACAUAGUCAAAGAUGAAAACUUCCAGGAAAGAGCUCACUUUCUGUGGCUUAACUAUGUGACUAAUUGGAGCAGGUUCUCCUUCAAAUACAAAAAAGAAUUCCGGACAAUGUAGUCGGUGCUGAACUGCUCCCAGUGCUAUUGUGCAUACAAGAGCUGCAUGCCGGGUUACGUUGGAAGAGGAAGGCGGGGUGAGCUGUGGGGGGUAUAUUCUGAGGAUCCCCACCCUGGAUUCUGCAGCCAUUUCUGCCAACUAACAGCAGGAUUUCCUGAGGAGGGAUAACAAGGAUCUGCAUACACAACAAUACACA
rnacentral:lncRNA from 1 species